AGAGUUUGAUCCUGGCUCAGGACGAACGCUGGCGGCGUGCCUAAUACAUGCAAGUCGAGCGGACCGAAAGGAGAGCUCGCUCUCCUUUCAGUCAGCGGCGGACGGGUGAGUAACACGUGGGUAACCUGCCUGUAAGACCGGGAUAACUCGCGGAAACGCGAGCUAAUACCGGAUAGGUCCCGUGGCCGCAUGGCGACGGGAGGAAAGAUGGCGCGAGCUAUCGCUUACAGAUGGGCCCGCGGCGCAUUAGCUAGUUGGUGGGGUAACGGCCCACCAAGGCGACGAUGCGUAGCCGACCUGAGAGGGUGAUCGGCCACAUUGGGACUGAGACACGGCCCAAACUCCUACGGGAGGCAGCAGUAGGGAAUCUUCCGCAAUGGGCGAAAGCCUGACGGAGCAACGCCGCGUGAGCGAAGAAGGCCUUCGGGUCGUAAAGCUCUGUUGUCAGGGAAGAACAAGUACCGGAGUAACUGCCGGUACCUUGACGGUACCCGACCAGAAAGCCCCGGCUAACUACGUGCCAGCAGCCGCGGUAAUACGUAGGGGGCGAGCGUUGUCCGGAAUCAUUGGGCGUAAAGCGCGCGCAGGCGGUCCCUUAAGUCUGAUGUGAAAUCUUGCGGCUCAACCGCAAGAGGUCAUUGGAAACUGGGGGACUAGAGUGCAGGAGAGGAAAGCGGAAUUCCUAGUGUAGCGGUGAAAUGCGUAGAUAUUAGGAAGAACACCAGUGGCGAAGGCGGCUUUCUGGACUGUAACUGACGCUGAGGCACGAAAGCGUGGGGAGCGAACAGGAUUAGAUACCCUGGUAGUCCACGCCGUAAACGAUGAGUGCUAGGUGUCGGGGCCGUGAGUCCCGGUGCUGAAGUCAACGCAUUAAGCACUCCACCUGGGGAGUACGUUCGCAAGAUUGAAACUCAAAGGAAUUGACGG
rnacentral:rRNA from 1 species